CAGCAGCCGCGGGAAUACGUAGGGUGCAAGCGUUAAUCGGAAUUACUGGGCGUAAAGCGUGCGCAGGCGGUUAUAUAAGACAGAUGUGAAAUCCCCGGGCUCAACCUGGGAACUGCAUUUGUGACUGUAUAGCUAGAGUACGGCAGAGGGGGAUGGAAUUCCGCGUGUAGCAGUGAAAUGCGUAGAUAUGCGGAGGAACACCGAUGGCGAAGGCAAUCCCCUGGGCCUGUACUGACGCUCAUGCACGAAAGCGUGGGGAGCAAACAGGAUUAGAGACCCCCGUAGUCCCUGUCUCUUAUAU
rnacentral:rRNA from 1 species